AUGGUGUAGCCUACUGCCCACCUAGGCUAUACGGUACUAAUCUCAUGGGACCACCGUCACAUACGCAGUCCACUGUUGACCAUGACUCAAAUUAUCGCCAUUAUAUGCCUCUAAUCAAACACUACUAUCUCAAAAGUAUUAAAAGACUUUAACCAAGGUCACUAGACACUGAGGAGCAGAGUCAAGAUUCAAACCCAGAUCUGUCAGACUAAGAUCUUAAGAGGUAUGCUAUGCUGCCUCCCCAUAAGGCAAUGGGGAUUUGAUUAGAUAUAAAUAGAUGUUUUAAUAUUCAUACCCUAUGUGAUACUAUAUGUCUAAGCAUCUUUUAAAUGACUCUUUUUCAUUUUGGUAUUAUUGUUGGGAAGAAAAUAUGAGACAUUGGAUAUGGGGAGAAAUAGAGUGGCAUGGACCAGCAUUUUCUAAUAAGGUUUGGAAUAUUUGGUUCUAUUCAAAUCUUCAUCUGCUCAUUUUCUCAGUGGCUUGUUUUCACUCUUCUGUUGUCAAAGACCAUAUUAAUUCACUCAUAAUCAGAAGCCUAAGAGAUUUAAAAGCCAAAGAGAAUACAUUUAAAAACAAUUUGCUUGCUGUCUACAGCAGCCUAAUAUUAAUGAGUCCUCUUUUCUUGGAAGGAAGAAUGAGCAGUAGGAGCUCUAAUGGACCUGAUUUCUUCGGUCAGCACAGGCAGAACGUUUUCGCAUAGAGAUUUGCAGGAACAAUACCUGCUGCAUUUUAAUUUUUACAGAGAUUGAAAGAAGAUGUGAGCUGAAUGCACCCCAUGUGAACCUUGUAACUCUAAUCUCCAAGGGAACCAGGAACUUAAUGACGCCUCAGCCACCUCUGAGGAAACACAUCCAGAGCAGACCUGAUUUGGAUAUCUACCAAGAAUCUACAGAAGUUGACAGAGACUGACCAUCAUAGAGACGCAGACACUCAGUGAUAUACAAUUGGAGACACAAAAUUGGAAGAAAGGGAAGGCCAAAUUUCCCAUGGUGAUGCAGGAAUUGGGAGCCCAGAUGAGGAACCAUCUCGAAUAGGUAUGCUUAUGUAUUUUGAUUCAGUGUUCAGAUAUUCUUAUCAAUGACUUCCAGAAAGUGACAUUGAUUUUCUUUGGAAACAAUGAUGGAAAAACAGCGAAUGUGUACCAGAAUGCUUUUAGAGUUCUAAAAUCAUACCGGAAAAUGUCCGAGCAUUCCAACACAACUAUAAACAGUACCAUGCUGUAUUUAUGGGGGACAGCAAGUCUGUUUUUAAAAGUCUUUUGCGAUAUUUCUAUGUUUUUAAUUUAUUGAAUUAAAGCCAGAUUUAUUCAAUUAAGAUAAUACACUUCAAGGUUAACUGCCAUUUGCUGUUCAUUUAGGCAAGCUAUUGUACAGUUAUGUAAAUUUCAUGAACUGAGACACUACUUGAGUGUCUUAAUUACAAGCAAAAAGUGUCAUUUAAAUAUGAAUUAAGUGAAUAGUUGCCAGUAUUUCCUGUUCCUGUAUUUUCUAUCUUCUAAAAAUCUAAAGGCUACCCAAUGAUCUGCGCGAUGUCCUAAGAGUUUUCUUUUUCUGGUGAAAGAAAAACACCCCAAAUACCAAAUAUUAUUUUUUAAAAGUAAGAAAACAUGUAAAGAUGCCAUUAUUGCACCAACCAUUAAUCAGAGCAAUAUCUGAAUAAGAGGGUGCCAAUUUUUCCCAGUUGGCCACUAACAGUCAUUUUCAUGUUGUUACUGAAAUUUUUCAAUUAUUCCGUCUUACACUUACUAAUUUGCUACGUGUCAUCCGCUCAAAUCCACUAUAUAUGUAAAUUCAUUUUAAAAAAUGCUCUCUUUUAAAUCUAACCGUUUAUAAUGUAUCCAAACACUCAGUUUGCAGACUCAAACACUGGGAUGUGCAUAGUUUUACUACUUCUUUACCUUUGUCAAAAGAAAUAUUUAUUUUAAAUUUGGAGCUGUCACAGCUAUAGUUAUGUUUAGUAAAAGUGACCCAUGACUUGAUACUUUGUUGAUUUCCAUGAAGUAAUUCCCCAUGCAUCUCGG